AUCAUUUCCAAUUAAGACCAGAAAAAAGGUUUUCACACAGGGAAUAUACAGCAAAUGUGCUCAAUGGACUGAAUCUUUCAGAAUUUCUGGUCAGUUUGCUUGUAAAUACAACCACCAAUAAAUGUUUUCCAAUGGGCUAAAAGUGCCUGCAUUUGGCUUCUGAUUUUUCUUCUCAGUUUUUAUUUGCUGUCACUUUGUAUUAAUUAUUGUCAUGUCCAUGAUAAUCAGGAGUAAUGGUUCAAGUGAAUCUAUUUUUACUAUGCAUUAUGUAUAUGGUUUCAUGCACUGUUCAACUAAUAUUGUACAUAGACUCCACGUAUUUUAACUUUAUGUUGAGAGUAGCGAAUGGGUCUCAACUUCAGGAAAGUGGAUUAUAAUUUUGUCUAUGAAUUACCUUAAAGGAUACAUAACGAAUAGGCAAAAUUGAUAAAGAAGAAAAAUUACAAAGACCAUUACCAAUUUGAAGGGUGAAAGAACAUGGAAACCUAAAAUAUAUAGUCUGGGUAGAGUAUGAUUUGAGCUCAUGGACAAUAACAAAGACACAUUUGAAAAAACUUAAAAAAUGAGUGAGAUAACUCACAGCAUGUGUACUAAUACAAAAUUAAGACUAACUGAAACAAAUAAUAACAUGAGAAUCUAAGAAAUGUGUUAAAGUUACUAAAGUUACUAAUAGAAGGUUUACUCAAAAUCCUAAAGGAUUACAUUUAAAUUGGUGAACCAUAAGAAAUAAUCAUAGAUUAUUUUAUCUGCUCUUAGGAAACUGUCUGCUAAUUUAAAACCCUUUAGUUAUUCUAUUUUCUUAUAAUUAAAAUUUACACACAAAACCACUCUAUUUUUACUUGUUAAAACUCUUUCUAGGAGUUCCCAUCAUGGCUCAGUGGUUAACAGAUCCAACUAGGAACCAUGAGGUUGCGGGUUUGGUCCCUGGCCUUGCUCGGUGGGUUGAGGAUCCGGCGUUGCUGCGAGCUGUGGUGUGGGUUGCAGACACGGCUUGGAUCCCGCAUUGCUGUGGCUGUGGUGUAGGCCAGCAGCUACAGCUCCGAUUCGACCCCUAGCCUGAGAACCCCCAUAUGCCACAGGAGCAGCCCUAGAAAUGGCAAAAAGACAAAAACAAACAAACAAAAAAAAAACUCUUUCUAAAAUCCUAGUAGUAUUUACCAUCUUAGUAAAUACCGUUAAUAAGGGUUAGUUUGUGGUUGACAAUUUACAAUCUUGAAGAUAUGCAGGACAUUAUUUUAUGUGGUAAGCAGCCAUCAGUUUUAAAAUUUGCUAUCAGGGCCUUCGCUGGUCCUUCCAAACUGAAUAUGGUAUGUGCUCCUAUGUUCCCAUGUAUAUUUAAUUUCUGUACUGAGCACCUUAUAUUCAUUCAUUUAAUUAUCCAAACAAUGAUUUACUGAGCGCCAUUCAUGGGCCUGGCAGUGUAUUGAGGUUACCACAAUGAGUAACUCAGCCUCCGUGAUUACUCCCAUGAAGCUUAGAGUCUAAAAUGAGAAAUAGAAAUUAAGUGACAAUGACAAAAAUAAUCAAUUGUAUUGCAGAUACUUGAUAGGAAUGGAAAACACAGGGAGUGAUGAGAAAAUAUAGCAACAGGUAGAAAUCUAAACUCAAAGGACAAAAAAGGCAUCCUUGGAGAAGCAAGAAGAUAAUGAGUGGGGACUAACCAGACCAAUGGAGAUGGAAGGACAUUCCUGGAAAGAGAAAGUGCAAACAAGGAAGUUCUGGGAUAAAAAGGAUCUUGGCAUGUGCAAGGCAUUGUUAGAACCAAGAGCAGCAUGGCUGGUGCGUCUGUUGAGGGGGAUGCCAAUGUGUCUAAAGAGAGGAGGAAAGGAUGUGGCUGGAAACUAGGGAGGAAGAAGGCUUGGGGUCUAAGAGUCCAGAUGAAGAAUUCAGGCUUUUACCCAGGAACAAUGGUAACCAUGAGUUAGCCAUGUAGAUGCCUGCUUCUAAGUAUUAGAAAUUGCAGGUCUUUGGUUCAUAAUCCCAGUUCCAACAUCUCAGGGAGCACCUGACACAGAGUGGGUGCUUAACACUUGUUGGAUGACUGACUGGAGAGAAUGCAUGAUCCCUUGUCUCCCCAGCCAAAGAAUAAAGAGGUUCUGAGUUACAGAGGACUCUGAUUUAAUGGGGAGAGGAGAGGGAAGAUUCCAGCCACUACUUUUUUACAACCUAUCCUUUUAAGGUGUCAUUUGAAAAUAUAAACAUUGCAAGUGAUAUCCACAGGAGCAGGUUGAGGGGCUUCCAGACAAAUGAAGUGCUCCAGAAUCAAAGCAACUAUCUGGCCAGAGCAAGAUUCCUACGAAAUCUCCCUGCAAAACUACCAAAUCACAAGCAAAAGUUCUGAGGUUAUAGAGUCAACCAACAGUCCUUCAGAAGAGUAUGAAACAGGGUGCCAGCUUAACAACACAAAAAAUAUUGAGAAGAAAAGGACAGUCUUCCAACAGUGCCCCAGGAGUGUAACAAAUGUGAUGAGGUUUAGGGCUUUGAUCAGGACCUGCUCACAGGGUGUUCUGAUCAGGGGGUGUUUUGCUUCUAUGCUUUAGUUGGCCCUUCGCUCUCUGUUGAAUUCAGGCGUGCAAAAGCCUUUUCUUUUCAAACAUGAAAACAAAAAUCUCUUGCCAUUUCAAAGUGCCCUCUCCUUUGCAGCCUACUUGGUAGUUUGCCUUUCUUUCUUUACUUUUUGAAUACGAGCUUUGAUCAUCUCACCCCCCUGCUCCACCUUCAGUGGCUUACCACUGCCUGAUGAAUAAAAUAAAAACUUCUAAGCUUGCCACAUGAUGUCCCAAACCUCGCAAAUGCCCAACAUGUUUGCCUAACCUCUUCUGACUUCCUCUCCACAUAGUCACCGUCAUCAAGCCAUUGUUUUGCUUAUUCCAUGCAAAGACAAAGGCAACCAGUUUCAUCUGUUCCUUCUUCCUUCCUUCUGUUCUUCCUCUCCUUUUCUUUUGAAUCUUACCAUCGAUUACCUCCCCAAUUAAAAUCAAGAUACCUAAAGACACAGGAGUCCUAGGACUCAAAAAAAAAAAAAAAAUCUUCCAGGUCUCUCACUGAAAGCAUUACUUUUCUUGCAUAAAGUACAAUGUUUAAAAUGUAGAUAUCUGAUCUUGCUCCCAAAUGUUGUGAGAAACAGUCUGGCAAAGCCUAGGAAUUGCAUUGCAUAUUUAGCAUCAUAUCUAGGUCUCAUUUAAAUGGUCCAAAGAUGAUACUUUGAGAAACACUGGUCUGCAGUGUUGAGUAGACUUCCUGUGUUUCAAACAGACUGGUCUUCUAAUGAAUUCUGUUUCUCUAUGGACAUGCCGAAGGCAGAAUUCAGCUGCAUACGUGUCUCUAGUGACUGGAAAAUGUUUGAGGAAAUUAAGAAGUGACAAGAAUUUUAGAGUAUAGCUCUUCAGUAGUGUGCUUGCUUUUACACAGUCUGAGGAUGCUCAUGCUCAGUGUAAUGCUUCAAUAAGAAAUGGGCAUGGGGAGGUCACACUGACAUUGGAGCAGUGUUCUGAACAAUAGACCAUUGAUUAGUACAUCUUUCUUGUGCCAGUUUAUUCUCUAAGCAACAUGUCUGUUCAUAAGAAUCCAGGUUUACUCCACAAAAAUCUUUUAAGUGUCUGCCAAUAUCCAGGCAUGGAACUGGGUGGUAGGUUUAAAACCCCAACAUUGGGAGUUCCCAUUGUGGCACAGCGGGUUAGGUACCUGACUAGUAUCCAUGAGGAUACAGGUUUGAUCCCUGACCUAACUCAAUGGGUUAAGGAUCCUGCGUUGCCGCGAGCUGUGGUAUAGGUCACAGAUGCGACUCAGAUCCUGUGUUGCUGUGGCUAUGAUGUGGGCCAGCAGCCACAGCUCCAGUUUGACCGCUAAGCCAGGAACUUCCACAUGUCCUGGGUGCAGCCCUAUAAAAACAAAAAUAAAAUCCAAACGUUGUUUUGGCUUUGUGAAAUAGACAUCCUAUGUCAUACUUUUAAAUACGAAAAUUACAUCCAGCAUCACUUAAAUGGGAAACGGGAAAGAGCAUUUUUUGGAAAACAUAAUGAUGUUGGUAGUUUCUUGGGACCUGUAAUCUAGCAUUGAAUGGAGUUUAUCAAUAAAAGCAGACAUUAAAGGAAAAUUACUCACAAAAAACCUUCUGACCCAUAAAAUCACAAUUGAUAUAUUUAAGCCAAAUCUUUUUAUCUGCUCUUUACUACAAAUGUUUUCAGAUAUCUACUUUUUAUCUGGUUAAUAUUUCACCACAAAAUAUUUUUGAUGGAUUUUAUCAAUAUUUAGUUCUUCAUUUUAUCUUUAUUCAACUUAGAAAGGUUAAUUGUAACUGUAUUAAAGGCAACUAACAUAACUGAUACAAUAGCCAAAGAAAAAUGCCUGUGCUAUUAUGAAAUAAAUAAAAAUAAAAUGGCAUCUAUAACCCUUUAGGUAGCUCUAAAAAAUAGACCUGACAUUUGAGGAAGGGGGAAGAACAACAAUGAAAUAACAUAGACAACCAUCAAAAAGCAGAAUAUCUGCAAAGCUUUAGCUCUACUUUGAAAGAGCAAGACAAAAGCCCCAAUUAUCAAAAGAUGUGUAUUGGCUUCUGUACAGAAAUAAAGGAACACGAGGAAAGACCACAUGAUAAGGGAAAAAAAAAAUGGUAAAAAGUAAGAGAAGCACAUGGUUUGGUUAGUUUACAGCAAUGACAUUAAAAUUUAUAAUGGCUCUUUUACUGAAGAUUGUACCAUCUUAAAUUGACAUCCCCAAUAGCUUUAGUGAAAUUAAAAACAUCAAAGCACAUGCAUUCUUUGUUAAUCACAUGUAAGGAAAGUAAUACCUGUGGAUAAGUAAUUGUUACAGCAAUAAAUAACCAACGUUUAAGCCAGUGUGAAAGAAGAAGAUGAGAAGAGAACAUUCCCAAUGAGAAAGGAGGUUCAUUUUGCUAUAGUCUUUCAUUUUACACAAGAGCCAACAGAGACCCAAAGACACCCAUUGACUUGCCAGGAUUGGACAUUCCAGAAAGUCUUCCCUCAGAUGACUAUGGCUGAGUGAUACCUUCAUUCAUAAAGUCUUCAGGAAUUAGAGAUAAUGCUUUCAUGAAGUAACCAUCAAUAUGUGCUGCCAUGUUUAUGCAUAUGUGAUGCUGAUUUAGGGCCCAAGAUGUUCAUUCCUUUCUUCAAUCUCUAGUUUAUUCUCCACAACAUGCUUAUCACUCCUGAUGGAGUUGGGCUCUUUCCUCUACCCUCCUGCUCCCUUUAUUCUUGUCACUUUUUUUCCCACCUUGCCUUUAUUUAUCUGUCCCCUCUCACUCCAACGUCUUUCUUUUCCUUUCUCUGUCAAUCUAGAACUCCUGACACACAUUUAGGCAUUGGGAAGAUGAGAAAAUCAGCAAGUGUGUUCACUUACACCAAGAAUCAGUGAAAUUAACACUCUUGAUGAAAAAGAGUGGUGACAAACCUUCAAGUUUUGCCAGACAUUAAAGGAAAAUUACUCAGAGAAAACCUCUCUGCCCCAUAAAGCCACCUGAUUCAUGUUUUUAACCCAAAUCUUUUUAUCUAUUCUUUACUGCAAAUAUGUUCAGACAUCUACUUUUUAAUUAGGUUAAUAUUUUCUCACAAAACAUUUUUGAUGGAUUUUGAGGGAUAUCUCUAAACGGAUGAGCUUCUGUAUUAACCCAUGACCUUGAUGAUCUCUUGAUUCAUCUAAAAAUGUUUAAGUGCAUCACCAGGACAGGUUCUAUCCUUUCCCUGUUAAAAUGAAUAGUUUGCUACAAACUAAAUGAUUGUCUUCCCCUUCCCCGAGAUUUGGUAGAACUUAAUUCUCGAUGAGAUGGUAUUAGGAGGUGGGACUUUAUGGAGGUGAUGAGGCAGAUGAUGCGGACAGAGUCCUCAUGAGUGGGGAUUAGCACCCUAUAAGAGAGACCAGAGAGCAGCUUGUCCCUCCU
rnacentral:lncRNA from 1 species